AGCGUAGACGGUGUGGCAAGUCUGAUGUGAAAGGCAUGGGCUCAACCCGUGGACUGCAUUGGAAGCUGUCAUACUUGAGUGCCGGAGGGGUAAGCGGAAUUCCUAGUGUAGCGGUGAAAUGCGUAGAUAUUAGGAGGAACACCAGUGGCGAAGGCGGCUUACUGGACGGUAACUGACGUUGAGGCUCGAAAGCGUGGGAGCAAACA
rnacentral:rRNA from 1 species